rnacentral:lncRNA from 1 species
GGCCCUUUUUUGGCCCCUAAUUCCUAAACUGUUGGAACCAAAACUCCCAAGAUCAAUCCCAACCUUCUUUUUGUGGUCAUAAACCUUGUGUCAAAAUUUCAUAGAUUUCUAUUUACUUAAACUAAAGUAAAAGUGUGAAAACCAAGAAAUUGCUUAUUUGGGCCCUUUUUGGCCCCUAAUUCCUAAACUGUUAGGACCAAAACUCGCAAAAUCAAUCCCAACCUUCCUUUUGUGGUCAUAAACAAAUCAUUUAUUUUAUAUUUUAUAUUU